ensembl:snRNA U6 U6 spliceosomal RNA
GUGCUUGCUAUGGCAACACAUUUGCUAAAAUUGGAACGAUACAGAGAAGUUGAGCAUGGCCCCUCUCGAGGAUCACAUGCAAAAGCCUGGUAUGGAACCUGGACAG